rnacentral:rRNA from 1 species
GGGUUGUGAGGUUAAGCGACUAAGCGUACACGGUGGAUGCCCUGGCAGUCAGAGGCGAUGAAGGGCGUGCUAAUCUGCGAUAAGCGCCGGUAAGGUGAUAUGAACCGUUAUAACCGGCGAUACCCGAAUGGGGAAACCCAGUGUGAUUCGUCACACUAUCAUUAACUGAAUCCAUAGGUUAAUGAGGCGAACCGGGGGAACUGAAACAUCUAAGUACCCCGAGGAAAAGAAAUCAACCGAGAUUCCCCCAGUAGCGGCGAGCGAACGGGGAGGAGCCCAGAGCCUGAAUCAGCAUGUGUGUUAGUGGAAGCGUCUGGAAAGGCGCGCGAUACAGGGUGACAGCCCCGUACACAAAAGCGCAUAUGCUGUGAGCUCGAUGAGUAGGGCGGGACACGUGGUAUCCUGUCUGAAUAUGGGGGGACCAUCCUCCAAGGCUAAAUACUCCUGACUGACCGAUAGUGAACCAGUACCGUGAGGGAAAGGCGAAAAGAACCCCGGCGAGGGGAGUGAAAAAGAACCUGAAACCGUGUACGUACAAGCAGUGGGAGCCCCACCACUAAGCCAGUGGUGAACUCCACAUACGCAUCCUUUGCUGAGGAGACGGUUAACGGAGCGAAAGCGACGUUCAACCUCAAAAGAAGCAGAGGGGGCUUAGUGGUGGGGUGACUGCGUACCUUUUGUAUAAUGGGUCAGCGACUUAUAUUCUGUAGCAAGGUUAACUGUAUAGGGGAGCCGGAGGGAAACCGAGUCUUAACCGGGCGUUAAGUUGCAGGGUAUAGACCCGAAACCCGGUGAUCUAGCCAUGGGCAGGUUGAAGGUUGGGUAACACUAACUGGAGGACCGAACCGACUAAUGUUGAAAAAUUAGCGGAUGACCUGUGGCUGGGGGUGAAAGGCCAAUCAAACCGGGAGAUAGCUGGUUCUCCCCGAAAGCUAUUUAGGUAGCGCCUCGUGAAUUCAUCUCCGGGGGUAGAGCACUGUUUCGGCUAGGGGGCCAUCCCGGCUUACCAACCCGAUGCAAACUGCGAAUACCGGAGAAUGUUAUCACGGGAGACACACGGCGGGUGCUAAUGUCCGUCGUGAAGAGGGAAACAACCCAGACCGCCAGCUAAGGUCCCAAAGUCAUGGUUAAGUGGGAAACGAUGUGGGAAGGCCCAGACAGCCAGGAUGUUGGCUUAGAAGCAGCCAUCAUUUAAAGAAAGCGUAAUAGCUCACUGGUCGAGUCGGCCUGCGCGGAAGAUGUAACGGGGCUAAACCAUGCACCGAAGCUGCGGCAGCGACACCGUGUGUUGUUGGGUAGGGGAGCGUUCUGUAAGCCUGUGAAGGUGUGCUGUGAGGCAUGCUGGAGGUAUCAGAAGUGCGAAUGCUGACAUAAGUAACGAUAAAGCGGGUGAAAAGCCCGCUCGCCGGAAGACCAAGGGUUCCUGUCCAACGUUAAUCGGGGCAGGGUGAGUCGACCCCUAAGGCGAGGCCGAAAGGCGUAGUCGAUGGGAAACGGGUUAAUAUUCCCGUACUUGGUGUUACUGCGAAGGGGGGACGGAGAAGGCUAUGUUGGCCGGGCGACGGUUGUCCCGGUUUAAGCGUGUAGGUAUGUGUUCCAGGUAAAUCCGGUUCACUUUAA